rnacentral:rRNA from 1 species
UGAACGCUGGCGGUAUGCUUAACACAUGCAAGUCGAACGGAAACGAUACUAGCUUGCUAGUAGGCGUCGAGUGGCGGACGGGUGAGUAACGCGUAGGAAUCUGCCUGAUAGUGGGGGAUAGCCCGAAGAAAUUCGGAUUAAUACCGCAUAAUCUAUUCGUAGUAAAGUGGGGGACUUUCGAGCCUCACGCUAUCAGAUGAGCCUGCGUAAGAUUAGCUAGUUGGUAGGGUAAAAGCCUACCAAGGCUACGAUCUUUAGCUGGUCUGAGAGGAUGAUCAGCCACAUCGGGACUGAGACACGGCCCGAACUCCUACGGGAGGCAGCAGUGGGGAAUAUUGGACAAUGGGGGCAACCCUGAUCCAGCAAUACCGCGUGUGUGAAGAAGGCCUGAGGGUUGUAAAGCACUUUCAAUUGUGAAGAAAAGUUAACGGUUAAUAACCGUUAGCCUUGACGUUAACUUUAGAAGAAGCACCGGCUAACUCCGUGCCAGCAGCCGCGGUAAUACGGAGGGUGCAAGCGUUAAUCGGAAUUACUGGGCGUAAAGCGUGCGUAGGCGGUUUAUUAAGUCAGAUGUGAAAGCCCCGGGCUUAACCUGGGAACUGCAUUUGAAACUGGUCAACUAGAGUAUGGUAGAGGAAAGUGGAAUUUCUGGUGUAGCGGUGAAAUGCGUAGAUAUCAGAAGGGAACAUCAAUGGCGAAGGCAGCUUUCUGGACCAAUACUGACGCUGAGGUACGAAAGCGUGGGUAGCAAACAGGAUUAGAUACCCUGGUAGUCCACGCCGUAAACGAUGAUAACUAGCCGUUGGGGGGAUUUACCCUUUAGUGGCGAAGCUAACGCGUUAAGUUAUCCGCCUGGGGAGUACGGCCGCAAGGUUAAAACUCAAAGGAAUUGACGGGGACCCGCACAAGCGGUGGAGCAUGUGGUUUAAUUCGAUGCAACGCGAAGAACCUUACCUGGUCUUGACAUCCUGCGAACUUUCUAGAAAUAGAUUGGUGCCUUCGGGAACGCAGUGACAGGUGCUGCAUGGCUGUCGUCAGCUCGUGUCGUGAGAUGUUGGGUUAAGUCCCGUAACGAGCGCAACCCCUAUCCUUAUUUGCCAGCACGUCAUGGUGGGAACUAUAAGGAGACUGCCGGUGAUAAAUCGGAGGAAGGCGGGGACGACGUCAAGUCAUCAUGGCCCUUACGACCAGGGCUACACACGUGCUACAAUGGGAAGGACAAAGAGCCGCGAAGCCGCGAGGUGUAGCUAAUCUCAGAAACCUUUUCGUAGUCCGGAUUGGAGUCUGCAACUCGACUCCAUGAAGUCGGAAUCGCUAGUAAUCGUAGAUCAGAAUGCUACGGUGAAUACGUUCCCGGGUCUUGUACUCACCGCC